rnacentral:rRNA from 1 species
CUCCGCUACUCUCGGAUGUCGCUCCACCCCCAAAAAAAGUGAGAGACGACCACCGCCGCUCGCCGACGACCAGUAGGCGGCGCCGAUCCGGAGCCGCCGUUGAGGGGACGCCACCGUACGUGCGCGCAUGGCCGGGAGCCGGCGCCGCCGCCGCCGCCGGAGAGCGCGGCCGCAGCAGGCCGACGAACCCUCGCCGCCGCCGGCACCAGCCAGCCUCAGCUCCAGGGAAGUUGCUGUUGCAGCAAGGCCCUCUAAGAAAAUCUGUGAUGCCUCUGGAUCUGUUUCCUCACCCUCAUCGGGAUCUCAUGCCUGGGAAAACCUUCUAGACAGCCUGCUCCACCAAAUCAUUUCUCUCAUUAGCUCAUUCCAUGACUUGCUUGCUUUCCGUGGCACCUGUCACUCAUGGCACCACGCUGCAGCCUCUUCCUUCCCAUCUGUAUAUACCUUCAGCUUCCCACCUCUCCACCUCAAACCAGAUGUAAGCCAAGAGAGUUACAACUCAGAUCGGAAAUCACAGCUUGUCGAUCCUGCUAAGAAAAGUCUAUCCCAUCGUUGUUCAGCGCCUGGAAUUACUCUGCAUCCCAUGCGCUAUCUGGGCUGCUCAUAUGGUUAUCUUAUCUUCUCUGAUAGGAGACACUGCCAUCUCGUCGAUGUGUACACUGGCACUAAGGUGAAGCCGCCAAAAUUCCAAUCUGAGUGUAACACUUUGAUCUACCUUGGCAUCCUUACGGCUCCACUAAAUUCGACCAAUUCACGUCUCAUCCUUUUCUCGAGAAUCUCCAUGCUCCAGUGGCAGGUUGGAACAAAUUCUUGGACAGAGCACCCUCAUGUUGGUGAACUCAUCCAUCAGAUUGUGCUCUUCAAAGGCCAGAUGUUUGCCAUGGACUUUGUUCAAAGGCUACAUACCAUACACAUAGCACCUGAGCUCAGCAUGCAGGAAGUAGCAGUUAUGUGGGAACAGAGCAUGCUCGUAGGCCUGCAUUCUAAGCCAUGGUUGGUGGUCUGUGGUGACAUGCUUCUCUUGGUUGAUCUCUCGGUAAGCAUGGACCAACUGUUUGGCUUCCCUGGCACCUUUCAAGUCUUCCGCCUCGACUUCUCGGUCGAACCAGCUAAGUGGGUGAAGAUGGAUAAGUUGGACAAUUGGGCUCUCUUCCUUACCAAUGAUAGGAGAAACCCUACAUUUUCUUGCAUGAACCCCGAAAGAUGGGGAGGAAAGAGUAACUAUAUUUAUGUUCCAACAAAAUCAGAAGAUUUUGAUGAGCCAUGGACUGCAAUAGAGGUUGAACAGCCGGUGCCCAGCUCGACUCACCGUAUGUCAUUCAGCUCCGCAGCCACUGCCCAUUGCAGUCCACUAAAUAGCCUCUGGGUGCUUCCCAGUUUGGUUUACGGGGUUGACCAGUGAUUGGUCAUCGUUGCUUGUUGCAGUUGCAAGGCUUUUCUUAGUCUUUCACAAUGCCAGUCCUGUCGAUUCCUGCUUUUAUAUUAUUCAAUUAGCCACUAGGUUCUGUAACUCCCAUGGUUUCUUGACUUGUCAAAUGUAUUGUGUACAAGAAUGUUUAUCUAUAUUGUCUCCAGGAAGUGAUCGUCCUGCACUGGAUCUAUGGGGAUUAAUUGAAUUCUUAUGUAGCAGCUUGGUUGACAUUAAUUCUGUGACUGGACAAGAAAGCACAUUAUGAAUAUGUCAACGCUGUUUCGAAUCCGGUAACUCUUUAUGUUGCUCAUACAUAUUUGUGGCUGUGUGCUCUUUGAUCUGGUCUCUUUCCAUAUGUUCCUUGUGCCUCUAUUAUUUCUCCUUUCAUGUUUUGAAUUUCUUUUGACAUAAUGGGAGGCAUACAAUAUAGAGUGAUGGUUCAUUCCAGUAAGAUUCUGCUAAGAUUUCUUCUACCGUACAGAACAUGCAAAUUCGGCCAACAGCUUUAUUCAGGAGCAGAUGUUUGUUAUUUCCAAGUUGCAAUAGUACUGGCCACACAGGAUGAUGUAUGGCACUUUUAUUUUGUCACCGCUUCAUCGAUCAACUGAACACUGAUUGAUCCAGCUAGCACAGCACAUAUCUUAGCAGCCACCACCAGCACAGGUAAUGGCCACCGGCAUGCUGUAGGGGGGUGGUGGUGCAAUAAUCCGAGAUGUAUGAGCUGCGCAUCUAUGGGAGGGUGUGAAGCACCAUGCUCAUUAUCUCAAACUGAACCUGCUGCAGAGGCUGACCGUAACUCCGCCACGUAAGAAGGUUCAGUAAGGUGAAAGGCUUCUGACAUUUCAUUUAUCAUGUAAAACAUGCAAUUUUAUUCGGACAAAAGCUUUAUUCAGAAACAGAGGUCUGUUAUUUCCAAGUUGCAAUAGUACUGGCCACACAUGAUGAUGUAUGGCACUUUUAUUUUGUAGCUCUUCAUCGAUCAACUAAACGGUGAUCGAUCUAGCUAGCACAUCACAGAUCUUAGCAGGCACCACCAGCACAGGUAGCUGUCAUGGGGAUGCUGUAGAUGGCGGGGGUGAUGGUGCUGCACGGGGUGGUGGUGCAAUAUUGUGGGAUGUUCACUCUGCACAUCAACGGAAGGGUCUGAAGCACCAUCCUCAUUAUCUCGACCGGAACCUGCUGCUGAGGCUGCCCGAAACUUUGCCCUUGCUGCUGCCGCAUGAUGAUCUGUGCCACGCUACAGACGGCCUGGCACCGAGCCUGCUCCGAGAUCUGGGCCAGCGGCUGGCAGCACUGUUGCCGCACCAACUGGCAACCGCUUGCCUGCCACAUCUGUGUCUGGACAUGUGGUGUCUGGCUGCACUGCUGCAGGAAAGCAGCGCAUGUGUUCAUCUGCGGCUGUGGCUGCGGCUGCGGCUGCGGCUGCUGCUGGCAUUGCCCGUAGCCCUGGCUACAGGUAGUGUACAGCUGCGCAACAGCGCUUGUCGCCGUGAAGGCGAGGAGAGCGAGGAGGAACAUGGUCUUCAUGGUGGCUGGCUAUAAGCUUGCUUUGGUGUUUAUGUUUGUGUGAAGGGUGAUGAG